ensembl:misc_RNA Y_RNA Y RNA
GGCUGGUCCAAAGGUAGUCAGUUAUCUCACUUGAUGGUUCAGAGCCAGUUACAGAUUGAACUCCUUAUUCUGCUCUUUCCUCACAUCUCACUACUGUACUUGACUAGACUGAA